CUGUUUUUCUCAUACUAUAUGCAAUAGGUCUACUAUAUUUGUUGUAUGGAAUGAUGGUAAGGUGUUCAUGUCUAGCGGGCAGAUGUCAUCUGACCUUGACCUCAUUUUCAUGGUUUAGUGGUCAAAGUUAAGUUUUUGAGUUUUGGUCUUUUUAUCUAAUACUGUAUGCCAUAGGUCAACUAUAUUUGGUGUAUGGAAAUAUUUUAUGAUCUUUAUGUCAGUCGCGCAGGUUUUAUUUAACCGUGACCUCAUUUUCACGGUUCAUUGCACAGUGUUAAGUUUUUGUGUUUUGGUCUAUUUUUCUUAAGCUAUAAGUAAUGGGUCAACUAUAUAUGUUGUAUAGAAGAAUUGUUAGCUGUACAUGUCUGCCUGGCAUGGUUCAUCUGACCUUGACCUCAUUUUCAAGGUUCAUUGGUCUUUGUUUAGUUAUCUUGGUUAAUGUUAAGUUUAUGAGACAGUUGUAAUAAAACAAAGCUUUAUACUUAGGACUAUCAACAUAAUAUCAAUGAUUAGUAUAGAAGGUGAGACAUUUCAGCGUGUG
rnacentral:lncRNA from 1 species